AACGUAGGAGCCUAGCGUUAUCCGAAUUUACUGGGCGUAAAGCGCGUGCAGGCGGCUUCCGUAAGUGGAUUGUGAAAUCUCCCGGCUCAACUGGGAGGGGACGGUCCAGACUGCGAGGCUGGAGGCAGGGAGGAGGGAGGUGGAAUUCCCGGUGUAGGCAGUGAAAUGCGUAGAGAUCGGGGAAGGAACAUCAGUUGCGAAGGCGGCUCUCUGGACCCAGCACUGAACACUGAGGCACGGAAAGCGUGGGGAGCAAACAGG
rnacentral:rRNA from 1 species